AGAGUUUGAUCAUGGCUCAGAAUCAACGCUGGCGGCGUGCCUAACACAUGCAAGUCGAACGAGAAAGGGUAGCAAUACCUGAGUACAGUGGCGCACGGGUGAGUAACACGUGACUAACCUACCCUGGAGUGGGGGAUAACUGGGAGAAAUCCUAGCUAAUACCGCAUAAUACCUACGGGUCAAAGGAGCAAUUCGCUUCAGGAGGGGGUCGCGGCCGAUUAGUUAGUUGGCGGGGUAAUGGCCCACCAAGACGAUGAUCGGUAUCCGGCCUGAGAGGGCGCACGGACACACUGGAACUGAAACACGGUCCAGACUCCUACGGGAGGCAGCAGUGGGGAAUUUUGCGCAAUGGGGGAAACCCUGACGCAGCAACGCCGCGUGGAGGAUGAAGUCCUUCGGGACGUAAACUCCUUUCGAUCGGGACGAUUAUGACGGUACCGGAAGAAGAAGCCCCGGCUAACUUCGUGCCAGCAGCCGCGGUAAUACGAGGGGGGCGAGCGUUGUUCGGAAUUAUUGGGCGUAAAGGGUGCGUAGGCGGUUUGGUAAGUCUUAUGUGAAAUCUACAGGCUCAACUUGUAGUCUGCAUGAGAAACUGCCGGGCUUGAGUAUGGGAGAGGUGAGUGGAAUUCCUGGUGUAGCGGUGAAAUGCGUAGAUAUCAGGAGGAACACCUGUGGCGAAAGCGGCUCACUGGACCAUAACUGACGCUGAUGCACGAAAGCUAGGGGAGCAAACAGGAUUAGAUACCCCGGUAGUCC
rnacentral:rRNA from 1 species